rnacentral:rRNA from 1 species
GACGAACGCUGGCGGCGUGCUUUACACAUGCAAGUCGAGCGGCAGCGCGGGGGCAACCCUGGCGGCGAGCGGCGAACGGGUGAGUAAUGCGUCGGAACGUGUCCCGUAAUGGGGGAUAACGCCGCGAAAGCGGCGCUAAUACCGCAUACGCUCUACGGAGGAAAGUGGGGGAUUCGCAAGGACCUCACGUUAGGGGAGCG